ACCGGCGCACGGGUGCGUAACGCGUAUGCAACCUACCUUUAUCUGGGGGAUAGCCCGGAGAAAUCCGGAUUAAUACCGCAUAAAAUCACAGUACUGCAUAGUACAAUGAUCAAACAUUUAUGGGAUGAAGAUGGGCAUGCGUGUCAUUAGCUAGUUGGCGGGGUAACGGCCCACCAAGGCGACGAUGACUAGGGGAUCUGAGAGGAUGGCCCCCCACACUGGUACUGAGACACGGACCAGACUCCUACGGGAGGCAGCAGUAAGGAAUAUUGGUCAAUGGAGGCAACUCUGAACCAGCCAUGCCGCGUGCAGGAAGACUGCCCUAUGGGUUGUAAACUGCUUUUACUCGGGAAUAAACCUAGAUACGUGUAUUUAGCUGAAUGUACCGAGGGAAUAAGGAUCGGCUAACUCCGUG
rnacentral:rRNA from 1 species